GAUGAAGAACGUAGCGAAAUGCGAUAAGUAAUGCGAAUUGCAGAAUUCCAGUGAGUCAUCGAAUCUUUGAACGCACAUUGCGCCCUUUGGUAUUCCGAAGGGCAUGCCUGUUCGAGCGUCAUUAUCACCCCUCAAGCCCUCGGCUUGGUGUUGGACGGUUUGGUGGAGGCCCCCUCGGGGGCUCCUGCCCCUCCCAAAGACAAUGACGGCGGCCUCGUUGGACCCCCGGUACACUGAGUUCUUCACGGGACACGUAUCGGACACAUGGGUUUACGGGACACGGUCUGCCUCCCCUCAGGGAGAAUCUUUCUAAGGUUGACCUCGGAUCAGGUAGGGAUACCCGCUGAACUUAAGCAUAUCAAUAAGCGGAGGU
rnacentral:misc_RNA from 1 species